UAAUUAUGAUACUGGAACUGGAGAUCAUUAUUCCUUGAGGCAGAUAUGUGAUCAAUCCUAUAUAAGAGGUGCAUGUACUUCCCCUUUUGUUUUAAUGAUUUCCCUGGUUGCAUUUUUUGCCUUUUGCUGGAAAUCCACAACGUUAACAUUGUUCUUCCAUUAACAUGGACUGCAAAAGCUUUCAUGCUGCUUUGUGAAAUUUCACAAAACAAAGAGUAGCAGAUUGUAACCGAUAAUACUUAGGAUUUGGGAAUGUUAUGGAAAAUCAGCUAACAGAUCCUGUGGUUCCUAAUUGCAAAUUCAUCAGAUGUAGGAUCUAAACAAAACAAAUCUAACAUCUCAACUUUGGAUUUGAUAUUUGC
rnacentral:lncRNA from 1 species